rnacentral:rRNA from 1 species
UACGAAGGGGGCUAGCGUUGCUCGGAAUCACUGGGCGUAAAGCGCACGUAGGCGGAUCUUUAAGUCAGGGGUGAAAUCCUGGAGCUCAACUCCAGAACUGCCUUUGAUACUGGGGAUCUCGAGUCCGGAAGAGGUGAGUGGAACUCCGAGUGUAGAGGUGAAAUUCGUAGAUAUUCGGAAGAACACCAGUGGCGAAGGCGGCUCACUGGCCCGUAACUGACGCUGAGGCACGAAAGCGUGGGGGAGCAAACAGG